AGAGUUUGAUCCUGGCUCAGAUUGAACGCUGGCGGCAUGCUUUACACAUGCAAGUCGAGCGGCAGCGCGGGGGGCAACCCUGGCGGCGAGCGGCGAACGGGUGAGGAAUACAUCGGAACGUACCCCGGAGUGGGGGAUAACUCGGCGAAAGCCGUGCUAAUACCGCAUAUGCUCUGAGGAGGAAAGUGGGGGAUUCGCAAGAACCUCACGCUCUGGGAGCGGCCGAUGUCCGAUUAGCUUGUUGGUGGGGUAAUGGCCUACCAAGGCGACGAUCGGUAGCUGGUCUGAGAGGAUGAUCAGCCACACUGGGACUGAGACACGGCCCAGACUCCUACGGGAGGCAGCAGUGGGGAAUUUUGGACAAUGGGGGCAACCCUGAUCCAGCCAUGCCGCGUGCGGGAAGAAGGCCUUCGGGUUGUAAACCGCUUUUGGCCGGGAAGAAAAGGCGCCACCUAAUACGGGGCGUUCUUGACGGUACCGGCAGAAUAAGCACCGGCUAACUACGUGCCAGCAGCCGCGGUAAUACGUAGGGUGCGAGCGUUAAUCGGAAUUACUGGGCGUAAAGCGUGCGCAGGCGGUUUGUUAAGUUCUGAUGUGAAAGCCCCGGGCUCAACCUGGGAAUGGCAUUGGAAACUGGCAAGCUCGAGUUUGGCAGAGGGGGGUGGAAUUCCGCGUGUAGCAGUGAAAUGCGUAGAGAUGCGGAGGAACACCGAUGGCGAAGGCAGCCCCCUGGGCUAAGACUGACGCUCAGGCACGAAAGCGUGGGGAGCAAACAGGAUUAGAUACCCCCGUAGUCC
rnacentral:rRNA from 1 species